AACUAGCCCAGAUCGCAACGGCAUCUUUUUUGUCGUGAGGAAUUAGCUUGGGACAAAAAAGAUAGAGUGGAGAGCUGGAAAAAGC
rnacentral:sRNA from 1 species